UUGUGAAAUGUUGGGUUAAGUCCCGCAACGAGCGCAACCCUUAUCCUUGUUUGCCAGCGAGUAAUGUCGGGAACUCCAGGAAGACUGCCGGUGAUAAACCGGAGGAAGGUGGGGACGACGUCAAGUCAUCAUGGCCCUUACGAGUUAGGGCUACACACGUGCUACAAUGGCGCAUACAGAGGGCAGCCAACUUGCGAGAGUGAGCGAAUCCCAAAAAGUGCGUCGUAGUCCGGAUCGGAGUCUGCAACUCGACUCCGUGAAGUCGGAAUCGCUAGUAAUCGUGGAUCAGAAUGCCACGGUGAAUACGUUCCCGGGCCUUGUACACACCGCCCGU
rnacentral:rRNA from 1 species